rnacentral:rRNA from 1 species
GAUGAACGCUGGCGGCGUGCCUAAUACAUGCAAGUCGAGCGAACAGACGAGGAGCUUGCUCCUCUGACGUUAGCGGCGGACGGGUGAGUAACACGUGGAUAACCUACCUAUAAGACUGGGAUAACUUCGGGAAACCGGAGCUAAUACCGGAUAAUAUAUUGAACCGCAUGGUUCAAUAGUGAAAGACGGUUUUGCUGUCACUUAUAGAUGGAUCCGCGCCGCAUUAGCUAGUUGGUAAGGUAACGGCUUACCAAGGCAACGAUGCGUAGCCGACCUGAGAGGGUGGAUCGCCAACCGGGAAACGAGGACACGGGCCGGACCCCAACGGGAGGAGCCGGAGGGAAAACUCCGGCAAGGGCGAAAGCUUGACGGAGCAACGCCGCGUGAGUGAUGAAGGUCUUCGGAUCGUAAAACUCUGUUAUUAGGGAAGAACAAAUGUGUAAGUAACUAUGCACGUCUUGACGGUACCUAACCAGAAAGCCACGGCUAACUACGUG